rnacentral:rRNA from 1 species
AACGAACGCUGGCGGCAGGCCUAACACAUGCAAGUCGAACGUGAAGCCAGAGCUUGCUCUGGUGGAAAGUGGCAGACGGGUGAGUAACGCGUGGGAACCUACCCAGUGGUACGGAAUAACUCAGGGAAACUUGUGCUAAUACCGUAUGUGCCCUUUGGGGGAAAGAUUUAUCGCCAUUGGAUGGGCCCGCGUUGGAUUAGCUUGUUGGUGAGGUAACGGCUCACCAAGGCGACGAUCCAUAGCUGGUCUGAGAGGAUGAUCAGCCACACUGGGACUGAGACACGGCCCAGACUCCUACGGGAGGCAGCAGUGGGGAAUAUUGGACAAUGGGGGCAACCCUGAUCCAGCCAUGCCGCGUGUGUGAAGAAGGCCCUAGGGUUGUAAAGCACUUUCACCGGUGAAGAUGAUGACGGUAGCCGGAGAAGAAGCCCCGGCUAACUCCGUG